ACGGAGGGUGCAAGCGUUACUCGGAAUCACUGGGCGUAAAGGACGCGUAGGCGGGUUGGUAAGUCAGAUGUGAAAUCCUACAGCUUAACUGUAGAACUGCAUUUGAAACUACUAACCUAGAGUAUGGGAGGGGGAGAUGGAAUUAGUGGUGUAGGGGUAAAAUCCGUAGAUAUCACUAGGAAUACCCAAAGCGAAGGCGAUCUCCUGGAACAUUACUGACGCUAAGGCGUGAAAGCGUGGGGAGCAAACGGG
rnacentral:rRNA from 1 species